rnacentral:rRNA from 1 species
CAGCCGCCGCGGGAAUACAGAGGGUGCAAGCGUUAAUCGGAAUUACUGGGCGUAAAGCGUGCGCAGGCGGUUUUGUAAGACAGAGGUGAAAUCCCCGGGCUCAACCUGGGAACUGCCUUUGUGACUGCAAGGCUAGAGUACGGCAGAGGGGGAUGGAAUUCCGCGUGUAGCAGUGAAAUGCGUAGAUAUGCGGAGGAACACCGAUGGCGAAGGCAAUCCCCUGGGCCUGUACUGACGCUCAUGCACGAAAGCGUGGGGAGCAAACAGGAUUAGAUACCCGCGUAGUCCCUGUCUCUUAUAC